rnacentral:rRNA from 1 species
GAUGAAUGCUGGCGGCGUGCCUAACACAUGCAAGUCGAGCGGCAGCGCGGGGUGCUUGCACCCUGUCGGCGAGCGGCUAACGGCUGAGUAACGCGUAGGUAUUUGCCCCCAAUUUAGGAAUAACUGCCCGAAAGGGUCUCUAAUUCCUCCUAUGUUCUUCGGAUUAAAGGAUUUAUCCGCUUUGGGAGAAGCCUGCGUUGGAUUAGGUUGUUGUUAGGGUAAUGGCCUACCAAGCCGACGAUCCAUAGCUGGUCUGAGAGGAUGAUCAGCCAGACUGGAACUGAGACACGGUCCAGACUACUACGGGAGGCAGCAGUGAGGAAUCUACCACAAUGGGCGAAAGCCUGAUGGAGCAACGCCGCGUGAAGGAUGAAGGCGUGCGGGUUGUAAACUUCUUUUAUGAGUGAAGAAUAUGACGGUAACUCAUGAAUAAGCACCGGCUAACUACGUG